GUUGGCUCAGUGGUUAAGAGCACUAGACUUAUCUUCCAGAGGUCCUGAGUUCAGUUCCCAGCAACG
rnacentral:tRNA from 1 species